ensembl:miRNA
UGGAAACAUUUCUGCACAAACUAGAUUAUGGAUACCAGUGUGCGGAAAUGCUUCUGCU